CCUCGUUCUCCGCUUGUUUAUGGCUGACGCUAUCUCGCCUGCACCGCUCCCUCGGUUUCAUUAUCUCUUGUCGCAGAUGGACCGUGGCUUUCCUUCUUCACAGGGCUUCUCUCUGCUGGUGCUACAGCUCCCUCUCCUCUUCCCAGCUCUGCAUCCUUCACCCUUGCUCACAGGUGAGCCUUUUCCAGCGAAGCACUUCACUCCAGCUGUCCUUCCUCCUGCAGUCUCUUCUCCUCUAAAGACCUCACCAUCCCGUAAAAUAAAGCCAAUGGCGCUAAUGUAAUAAUGCUGAUAUUGUGGCCAGCGGGACCAGGGCAGUGACCAUCCCCUGUGCUGGGGCACCUCCAAUCCCAGGGAUUAAAGAAGUGCAACAGCUUCCAGGGAUUUAAAUGCAUGGUGAGAAAAGGAGAAAAGUUUUUUACCUCAUUGGCAGAGAAUUUAAGGAUGGGUGUAACAGCCAGCGUGUCCCUCUAAGGCAGCACCUGAGAGGGUCAUGUGUGUGACAUCCUUUAAGGAAGAUGCUUCCUCUGGAUCACUUUCUUAGCAACCACAAUGAGCCAUCCUGGUAGAGAUGGGAGCCUCCAUGCAGUCUGGAUCUUGAGUCCUGUGUUCAUUCUGGGCUUGGUUGUGCUGGUUCCCUGCGGAGAACUCUGACCACCCUUCCAAAAUACUCCGUGACUGGUUUCCUUUCUCAGAGACUGAGUUUGAGGAUAUAUUUCACAGAGCAAUAGCUAUGCAAAUGCAAAUCCUCCUUGUAGAGUUCUUUUAACUUCAAGCCACUAAAUAUACACAUUUGGUCUGUGGAACUGAAUUUACUUCCCCUCUCAGAGGAACAAGCUUUGUCAGCUGUAAUGAUGAGCUGUUGUUUGACAUUCAUAAUAUUGUACUUCACUGCUUAUCUGAUGGAGCCAUGCAAAGCUAUUUGGGGGGUUCUGAAAUGUGACAGCCCACAUGAUGCUUUUUUAGACUUCACAAACCGCCUUCACGAGGCAGGAGAAUGUGACAUGGGAACGGCUGGCUGGAACAACGGCGUGCCUUAAUGCCAGCGGGCUUGCUGUAGCUGGGGAGGAGGAAUGCUCUUUGGAAGUUUGCAGCUUUUGUUGUGUGCUGUCAAAGGAAGAACUUAGAGCCUGAAAGAACAUCUUGGAUGCCAUAGGUGGGGACUGUGGGGAUUAUUGAUCCUGUCUGGAAACAGCAUAAAGAUGGAGGCAAAUAUGUUAAACCUGUUUGGAUCAUCCACAGACAGAAGGGGACUCAAGGGAGACAGCUCAGAUACCCCAUUUCAUGCUGUCUUGCCAUAAUGAACAAAAAUAUCUCCAUUUCUGACAAACUUCUGUAUCUUCAUCCUUGCUGACAUGCGGAGUAUUCAUUGCACGCUUAGUUUUGAAUCCUGGAAGCCUCCAGGUGAAAGAACUCAUCUAGGAAAACCAAAACUCAACAAAUCUUCUGGCUUCUCUUCACAGACUAACAGCAGAAGAGCACAAGGGUUACCUGUGACAUCUGUUCCAUAUGAACCCUUGGAGGCUGACUAAAUGGGUGGUGCAUUCUCACUUCCCUGCAGUGGCCAGGCUUUAAAGACCUGAUGGGGACUCUGGCCACACAAUGACCUGGCAGUCCUGCCUGUCACUCCCACCUGCCUCUGCUGGCAUUCCCUGAACUUUAACCACAACUUCUGGCUGCAUCACAGUCCUGUUGGUCACUGGGGAAAGGCAGAAGAGGGUGUCCCUUCAAGCCCUGCCACCACGGUUCCUCUCAGUGUCCUCUGGCUCACGCUGACCCAUCACCAUCUGCCCCGUCCCGCCUCUGACAUCCUGCCUCAUCCUUUUCCAGGUGAAGAACCACAG